CAUUGAGCUAAUUGAAAUUAAGUAAAGCAGCCAGUUAUGUCAUUGAACAUGGGGAUUUUUGGUAUUCUUAUAGUGAUUGAUACUUCAAUUAUUGUGAAACAUAAUCAUUGUGUACUCCUGAUUACUGUAGAUGCAAGACACAAUAUUAUGUUACAUGAUGCUAUAUUUUGAGUAAAGAUAAUGUUAAUAUUGAAUUUCUCCAACUUAUCAAUUAAUUUCUGCUGCCAGUAUUGAUUUGGGUUGUAUUACUAAAAUUGAACAUUAGUGUGGGUGACCAAAAUUUAUUCAAUUAUGAUAUUACAUAAAAGUUAUAGAAUGUGGUACAUUUAACUUGAAGGGUAUUCUUGUGUACCAGCCAUUAUUGUUAAUUAUUCUCGCAUGGUGAAAAUGAUUUUAAUCUUGAGGUUAACUGUUAGCUGUUUAAUAAAAAGGUUACUGGUUUUAGCAUGUUGUGUGUGCAUAUUUUUAGAUUUGACUUGAGUUUUAGAUAUGGUGACCUAAUCUGUCUGCGGGUUGGCCCUGUGGUGAGCAAAUCAGUCAAGCACAAUACCUGAGUGAAGCUGAACACUGAACAAGGGUACUUCACAUAAAUGAUUUGGAGCUGGACAGAAGGUAAUGCAAUACAAAAGGGCAUCAGCUGUGAUAUUUGGUGAGUGAAAAUGUAAUACAAAAGGAAUCAGCUGUGAUAUUUGCAGAACCAAAGGUGGUCAGCGUGUGGUGCGAAUGGUGAUGAAGAUGGCAGAGUAGAUCUAGCCAGGUGCUCAGCUGGAUCCCAAUACGAGGCGUCAAGUGUGCCAUGAGCAGACCUUCGAGGGCGAAGGAAUUGCAGGAAGGCCGAACUGUUAAUUGUGAAAAAUAUAAAACGUUAAAAUAGCGGUAUCGUUAUAGCCAAUGAGAUGCUGUCAUAGUGACAUUGACGUAUUGUCAAUGUCACACGAGGAUCAAACGUCAGAAUAGAGGGACGCGCGGAGACGACUCCGCGCGCUUUUGUGCUAAGUGAUGAAUUGUAUCUAAAAUAAGGCAAUAUAAUGUGAAAGAUGAGUA